rnacentral:rRNA from 1 species
AUUGAACGCUGGCGGCAUGCCUAACACAUGCAAGUCGAACGAACAGACGAGGAUCUGUCUCGUCUGACGUUGGCAGCGGACGGGUGAUUAACACGUGGAUGACCUACCUAUGGGACUGGGAUGACUUCAGGAAACCUGAGCUAAUACCGGAUAAUAUAUUGAACCGCAUGGUUCAAUAGUGAAAGACGGUUUUGCUGUGACGUAUUGGUGGAUCCAUGCCGGAUUAGCUAGUUGGUAAGGUAACGGCUUACCAAGGCUACGGUGCGUAGCCGAUCUGAAAGGGUCAUCCGCCACCCGGGCACUGAGACACGGCCCAGACUCCUACGGGAGGCAGCAGUGGGGAAUCUUGCGCAAUGGGGGAAAGCCUGAUCGAGCAAAGCCGGGGGAGGGAUGAAGGUCUUCGGAUGGUAAAACGCUGUUAUUAGGGAAGAAAUAAUGUGCAAUUACCGAUGAAGGUCAUGACGGUACCCGAAGAGAAAGCCCCGGCUAACUACGUG